rnacentral:rRNA from 1 species
UAAUACGAAUGGUGCAAACGUUGUUCGGAAUCACUGGGCAUAAAGAGCACGUAGGCGGUCCAGUCAGUCAGCUGUGAAAUCCCUCGGCUCAACCGAGGAACUGCAGCUGAUACUGCUGGACUAGAGUACGGGAGGGGAGAGCGGAAUUCCUGGUGGAGCGGUGAUAUGCGUAGAUAUCAGGAGGAACGCCGGAGGCGAAAGCGGCUCUCUGGUCCGUUACUGACGCUGAGGUGCGAAAGCUAGGGGAGCAAACAGGAUUAGAUACCCUGGUAGUCCUAGCUGUAAACGAUGGGCACUAAGUAGGGGGACUCCCAAGGUCUCCCUGCCGGAGCUAAUGUGUUAAGUGCCCCGCCUGGGGAGUACGGUCGCAAGGCUG